AUACGGAGGACGCGAGCGUUAUCCGGAUUCAUUGGGUUUAAAGGGUGCGCAGGCGGCCGUGCAAGUCAGCGGUGAAAGCCCGGGGCUCAACCCCGGAAGUGCCGUUGAUACUGUAUGGCUGGAAUGCGGUCGAGGCGGGCGGAACGUGGGGUGUAGCGGGGAAAAGCGUAGAUAUGGCACAGAACGCCGAUAGCGGAGGCAGCUCGCCAGGCCUGCAUUGACGCUCGGGCACGAAAGCGUGGGGAUCGAACAGGAUUAGAUACCCUGGUAGUCCACACCGUAAACGAUGGGCGCUCGUCGUCGGCGGCAGACAGUCGGCGGCCAAGCGAAAGCGAUAAGCGCCCCACCUGGGGAGUACGGUCGCAAGGCUGAAACUCAAAUGAAUUGACGGGG
rnacentral:rRNA from 1 species